rnacentral:rRNA from 1 species
CCUACGGGGGGCAGCAGUGGGGAAUAUUGGACAAUGGGGGGAACCCUGAUCCAGCCAUGCCGCGUGUGUGCAGAAGGCCCUCGGGUUGUAAAGCACUUUCAGUGAGGAAGAACGCCUGGUGGUUAAUACCCAUCAGGAAAGACAUCACUCACAGAAGAAGCACCGGCUAACUCCGUGCCAGCAGCCGCGGUAAUACGGAGGGUGCGAGCGUUAAUCGGAAUUACUGGGCGUAAAGCGCGCGUAGGUGGCUUGAUAAGCCGGUUGUGAAAGCCCCGGGCUCAACCUGGGAACGGCAUCCGGAACUGUCAAGCUAGAGUGCAUGAGAGGAAGGUAGAAAUCCCGGUGUAGCGGUGAAAUUCGUUGAGAUCGGGAGGAAUACCAGUUGCGAAGGUGGCCUUCUGGACUGACACUGACACUGAGGUGCGAAAGCGUGGGUAGCAAACAGGAUUAGAUACCCUGGUAGUC